UUUUUGGCUUUAAAACCAUAGAUUAAGCCCCCAACCUCUCCUGAGGGUCGCUUUACACAAGUACUUUCUGUUGGAAUUGGAGGUUCUGCCCUUGGACCACAGUUUGUUGCAGAGGCGUUGGCUCCUGAUAAUCCUCCUCUCAAGAUAAGGUUCAUUGACAAUACAGAUCCAGCUGGCAUUGAUCAUCAGAUUGCACAGCUUGGCCCUGAGUUGGCUUCUACGCUUGUAAUAGUUAUAUCAAAGAGUGGAGGCACUCCAGAAACAAGAAAUGGUUUAUUGGAAGUACAAAAAGCAUUCCGUGAAGCUGGCCUGGAUUUUGCAAAACAGGGUGUCGCAAUUACACAAGAGAAUUCAUUAUUAGAUAACACUGCAAGAAUUGAGGGAUGGUUAGCUAGAUUUCCAAUGUUUGACUGGAUUUUGAAUAUUUUGAGUUGAUUUUUUUCCUGAUAUAUUUGGUGGUCAGGUUUCCUAUGUCUUUAGAAAGCCUGAAGUUUCAGAUAUUGUGAUAUUUAAGGUGCCUCCAAUUCUUCAGGAAAUCGGCUAUAGUUCAGGUGAUGUGUUUAUAAAGCGCAUUGUUGCAAAGGAACGGGAUUUUGUUGAAGUACAUGAUGUUAAGUUAAUGGUGAAUGGUAUUGUGCAAGAAGAGGAUUUCAUUUUGGAGCCACUUGAUUAUGAAAUGGAACCAGUGCUUGUGCCUGAAGGUUUUGUGUUUGUCAUGGGGGACAACCGCAACAAUAGUUUUG